rnacentral:rRNA from 1 species
GACGAACGCUGGCGGCGUGCUUAACACAUGCAAGUCGAACGGUGAAGCGCCUUCCUUUUUGGUGGGUGUGGAUGAGUGGCGAACGGGUGAGUAACACGUGAGUAACCUGCCCCCUUCUUCUGGAUAACCGCAUGAAAGUGUGGCUAAUACGGGAUAUUCUGGGUCUGUCGCAUGAUGGGUCUGGGAAAGAUAUUGUUUCGGUGGGGGAUGGGCUCGCGGCCUAUCAGCUUGUUGGUGGGGUGAUGGCCUACCAAGGCGGUGACGGGUAGCCGGCCUGAGAGGGUGGACGGUCACACUGGGACGGAGACACGGCCCAGACUCCUACGGGAGGCAGCAGUGGGGAAUAUUGCACAAUGGGCGCAAGCCUGAUGCAGCGACGCCGCGUGAGGGAUGGAGGCCUGCGGGUUGUGAACCUCUUUCGCCAGUGAAGCAGGCCUGCCUCGUUUGUGGGUGGGUUGACGGUAGCUGGAGAAGAAGCGCCGGCUAACUACGUG